rnacentral:rRNA from 1 species
GUUUCCGUAGGUGAACCUGCGGAAGGAUCAUUAUCGUAUAACGGGGGUGCGAGGGCUGUCGCUGACCUUUCAAAAAGGUCGUGCACGCCCGAGCACUCUCACACAUCCAUCUCACCCCUUUGUGCAUCACCGCGUGGGUCCCCUUUGCAGGAGGGCUCGCGUUUUCACACAAAACUUGAUACAGUGUAGAAUGUUAUCUUUUGCGGUCACACGCAAUCAAUACAACUUUCAACAACGGAUCUCUUGGCUCUCGCAUCGAUGAAGAACGCAGCGAAAUGCGAUACGUAAUGUGAAUUGCAGAAUUCAGUGAAUCAUCGAAUCUUUGAACGCACCUUGCGCCCCUUGGCAUUCCGAGGGGCACACCCGUUUGAGUGUCGUGAAAUCAUCAAAAACCUUUUUCUGUUUACUGAAAAAGGAUUUUUGGACUUGGAGGUUCAAUGCUUGCCUUUCACUUUUGAAAGUGAGCUCCUCUCAAAUGAAUUAGUGGGGUCCGCUUUGCUGAUCCUUGACGUGAUAAGAUGUUUCUACGUUUUGGAUUUAGCACUGUCCCUUUGGAUGCCUGCUCCUAACUGUCCCACGGACAAUGAUGGUGCUCCGGUCACCGCCGUCUACAUUGGCGGGGGAGGGCUGGACCCACGAAAGAAAACCUUGACCUCAAAUCGGGUGAGACUACCCGCUGAACUUAAGCAUAUCAAUAAGCGGAGGAAAAGAAACUAACAAGGAUUCCCCUAGUAACUGCGAGUGAAGCGGGAAAAGCUCAAAUUUAAAAUCUGGUGGUCUUUGGCCAUCCGAGUUGUAAUUUAGAGAAGCGUCUUCCGCGCUGGACCGU